GCUGGUUCACUGUAUGCUCAGUCAGUUCAGUUUGAGGUUCAUAAAGGAAUUGAAGGUACUAAUGAUAUACUGUCAGUAGUGGUACCUCAAGAAUUAAGAGGAAGGAGUGAAGUAGUUAUAUUCCUAGCAGACAGACCUAUUAAAGAGGUUGUUUCUCUUGAUUCUUUGUUGCCGUCUUGUUUCAUUGAGCUUCAUAAGCAACAGUUGGUGUUAACUCCAUGGGAGCAGAUACUUAAAUCAGCUCAAAAUGUGCUCUUCAAUGAAGAACUGUUUGCACAUAUUGUACAAUCAUUUGUGAUGAGGAACUUGUAUUAUAUAAUGUGAAACUACACAAGAGGAAAGGUCAUGAUCAGUGGGUGGGUCAUUAAUUGAACCUUAUUGCUAUAAAAAGAAAAACUACUCACACAAGUCACGUAUCUUGUGCAGGUUGAUAUGGGAGGAGUACCAGCAACACUGGUUCACCCGGUUAUCCUAUUGUUCCUGGAUAGUUGUCCGGAGUUAGGUGUAACUGUUCCUGGAAACUAUCCAUAGGGAUAGACACUAUGAAUAAUAAGUAGUUUAGCUUAAUUAAUGAUUAAUGAAUAAGGGGGAGGGAUGUCAAGGAGCUAUGGAGGCUCACUCAGGAGCUCGCUCAGGAGGCUGAAAGCCUGAAACAUCAAGAAAGGCAGCUCAGUGGAUCAU